UUGCAUCCCGUCGUCAUUUGUUAAUCGAGCAAAGUAAUCAAAAGAAAGAAAGCGAUCGACCAAUCGCAGUCAAGAAAAAACACGAAGUCAAAAAGGAAAUCGGGUCCGAUGGCCGCUGAUCUUUCAUCGAUCGAUUCGCAAGCAGUGAUGGUCUCCGGGGUUCGACUAGGCCGAAGAAGAGAAGUAUCGAAGCGGCGGGUGUUCCCUCUCAUCUGGUUCUGAGGUGCGAAGGAGAUUGAGAAAUUGCGAUUAGGGGCGAGCAAAACAAGAGGCCGUCGCCUCUUGUCGUUCAUCGGGAAGAGGAAUCGCCACCGGUGCUAUUUACUUUUCCGGAGAGGAGGGUAGAGCGAGGGCAGCAAGGGCUGGUUGAGCAGCACUUGAGCUCUUCUGUCCCGGAAGGAGGAUGCGAAUGAUACGGCUUGGUGGUCUCGGUGGGUACAACGAGGGCUGCUCAAGCAGCUCCUCGGUUGCCUUCUUCAGUCUCGAUAGUUGUAGGAAAUGAAGAAGAGAAUGGAUGUGAGCCUGUGAGGGGGUUGUUCCUGACAGCUUCAACUGAAAAGAAGAAGAAUGCGUUGUGUGUAUGGUUAUCUUUGUGUAUGGAGGUGUAUAAAAAGAUGUUUACUUUGUGAGUAAAAUUGUAUAAGCUCUUUGUGUGUAGCUCCUGAUUUUGGUUUGAUUUUUGUGUACAAUAUGAUCUAUGAAAUAUUAGGGAAGUACAAUGCAAUAUUUACUCAAUAUUUUCAAUGUGCAAAAUGGUGUAUAAUUUAGGAUUU